rnacentral:rRNA from 1 species
AAUCAACGCUGGCGGCGUGCCUAACACAUGCAAGUCGAACGGGAAAGUGGAGCAAUCCAUGAGUAUAGUGGCGACCGGGUGAGUAACACGUGACUAACCUACCUUCAAGUGGGGGAUAACCUCGGGAAACCGGGGCUAAUACCGCAUAAUAUCUCUGUUAUGAGAAAGCAGGGAUCAAAGGAGCAAUUCGCUGGAAGAGGGGGUCGCGGCUGAUUAGCUAGUUGGUGGGGUAAGGCCCACCAAGGCUUUGAUCGGUAGCCGGCCUGAGAGGGCGCACGGCCACACUGGAACUGAAACACGGUCCAGACUCCUACGGGAGGCAGCAGUGGGGAAUUUUGUCGCAAUGGGGGAAACCCGUGACGCAGCAACGCCGCGUGGAGGAUGAAGUCCCUUGGGACGUAAACUCCUUUCGACCGGGAAGAUUAUGACGGUACCAUAUGAAUAAAGGACCGGCUAACUACGUGCCAGCAGCCGCU